CCAGGCUGCACCCGGAGACACAGUCCACAGCCCCUGUGUCUAUGCAGUGACCAGCCAGUCUCCUAAGAACUUUCCCCUCCAACACUCGGAAAAAUGAGGAUUUGGCUCCAUUUCGUUUUCAUUGCAGCAGCUCUGGGAGGCGCCCGGUCCCAGGUGCAGCUGGUGGAGUCCGGAGGGGAUGUGAAAAAGCCCGGAGACUCUCUCCGCCUCUCCUGCAAAGCCUCCGGGUUCACCUUCGGUGACUACUACAUGAGCUGGGUCCGGCAGGCUCCUGGCAAGGGCCUGGACUGGGUCGCAAGUAUAAGCUACCGGGCCGGCAGCACUGUGCAUUACGCCGACGCAGUCAAAGGCCGAUUCACCAUCUCCAGAGACAACCCCAACAACCUGCUGUAUCUGCAACUGACCGGCCUGAAGCCCGAGGACACCGCCCGGUAUCACUGUGCGAGACACACAGUGAGGGGAAGCCGGGCUGAGCUCAGAGAAAAACCUCCCGUUGCGGUCAGCAGGGAAAGUCCCAGCUGGUGAGACCCUGACACUCCCGGGACUGGAAACUGAAAAGAAGAAACAGCGAAUUCAUGUCAAGGUGCCCUGCUCUGGCCAAAUCUAGCUUCACCCAAGGCACAGGUCCAGGGGCCGGUCCCCUCGAGUGAAAAGGGCUGGACCUGCACCUUUCCCUCUGAUUUUUAAUCAAUUCUAUGUGCAAAUCAAGACUCCCAUUCUACACAGUCUUAAAAGCGCGCGGCGGGGGGGGGGGGGGGUAGUAAACAAAGCCAGUAACACUGACAGCCAGAACCAGGGACCGGGCUACCCCCAGUGAUGCUAUCGACCAUUGGAUAUUUGUUCUAUGUGCGCAAAGGUGUUAAACUGAUAUUAUUAAUCGACUCCCUGCCCUGCGCACUGUCUCACGUCUAUGGGCCUCAUCAACAACGCCCAUCCAUCCGGUGUGAGAACCUAGGGCCAUGUCACACAGCGGAUCUCUCAUCCACCCAACUCCCUCUCUCAGUGUAAUCCCAUUAACCUACCUGUAUUUAAACAGGAACCCUUCGCCCCGCCCCCCAGGUGAGGGAUUUCCAUGCAAAUUUCACCCAGGGAGGUUGGGAGUUGAACGGGGUUGUCAGCAGGUGCCCUAGGUCGAUGGGCUCACUCUAUCCAGGCCACGAAUGGGCAGCUCCUCGGUACUGGCUGUUCACAUUUUACCAGAUGAUGUUGCUGGGGAAAUCCCAUAGAUCAGACUUGCCCAAGGAAAGGGCUAAAUUCAGGAUUUAUCAGUCAGAAAUGUGUGACCUGAAUGGUCUAUGCAAGCGAAUGUUUUCAUAGCUAAUGUGAUUAUAAAGACCUGAAUGGAUCCCUCUCUCCAUUAACACUCACAUUCUCCCCGUGAUCAACACUUACCCCAGGGUUUCUCACACGGGGGUUGCGCUUGUGUAG